GCUGGUGGGUAAAGAGAACAGUAUCUAAAAGCCCAAUUAAAUCUUUAGGGUUAUCGGAGAACUUUGCAUUUUGAGUUCUCCAAUUGUAUAAAUCACUGAUGGAGAACGGCCAAUAUAACACUGGUUGUUUUCCAGACUUGUCAGGAGGCCCCAUGGCGCGGAGGGGAAGGGCGGUGGAGUCGGCCAGCCCCAUAUUUGAGGGUGGGGCUGCCCGGUGGGUCCAUCCAUGUGUCCCUGCUGCUGGCCCACGCACAGGAAUUCCUUCGUCAGGGAGGGGUGGUGCCCCUCCUGCAGCCCCUGGUGCUUCCAAUGGAGGGGCAGAAGGGAGAGGGAGAGCCUGGUAGGGCAGUGGAUGAAUCAGGUCCUCCGGAGAGGAAUCCUGCAAGACCAGAUAAAGGGGUGUUGUGGCCUUUGUGUCAGUCUCCUUCUCGGCUUUCCGCAGGGCUAGAAUCUUGGUAGGUCCUGCUUUGGGGGGUAAGAAUGGUUUUAGCCAAGAAGGGGGGUUUUCAAUCAUGUCCUGCCAGACCAGGAUGUAGAGCACCUGGUCAGGGUGGCCAUCUGGUUUGUCCUUGAAGAUUACAGCCUUGACCUGCAAAAUAAUAGGUAGGUGGAAAGUUCCUUCUUGGGGCCAUCCCACAUCAAAGGUUGGCCAUUCUGACAUGCAGUAAGUCUGAAAUUUCCCUUUUCUUAUGUCUGUGCUCAAAUUAUGAGCCCUUUCCUUAAUGUCCGAGAAGUGGGAGAGCAUAAGAGACAGGGGGUGGUUUGGGUCCGCCCCAUUUCAAUCCACACCAAGACACAAACAAUUAUGACGAUUAACAAGGACACAAUAACACAGACAAACAUUCCAGUGCGGCCGCGGAGACAAAACAGAAAGUAAAACGAAGGGCUGGCUGUCCGUAAUGGCAGCCGGCCCUCCUCACAGAUGAGGGCUUUGCCCUCCUGGCGGGGGCAAGGGACGUCUCCCAAGACCCCCGGUCGACGGCUCGCCAGUGCGUCCGCUUAAGCCAAUGCCGACCCAAAGACAGUUUGGAAUUCCUACAGGUACUUUGAGGCUUUAUUAUUAGUUGUGUAAAACUCAGGGUUGUUGUGUCCUCUUGAUGAAUUGAUCCCUUUAUCAUCUAAUCUGGUGUUAGCUAUUUGCCCUACCUACCUCAUGUCUGUUAUGGAAAAAGAACAAAAGAACAGUUUGGAAAGUAUACAGCAAACAGAAGUGUCCUUUCUAGCAAUGAAGCAUGAUGGAACAGGCACUCAGUUAAGUCUGAAGAAUAAGACUGCAUGUGAAGAAUUUUGAAACUAUAGCCCCACGACCUACUUGCAGGCAGGAGUUCUGAGACAGAGAAGACCAUGUGAAGACAGAGCAGGAAGAGCUGAGGCCACAAGAUGAGACUGACAACCACCAGAAGCUGGAAGAGGCAAGGAAGGGACUCCACCCUCGGGCCUCCAGAGGGGGCUCAACACCCUGACUGCAGACUUUUGGCCUACAGAGUUGUAAGAAUAAAUUCCUAUUGUUUGA